GUUUGAUUAGAAUUAUAAUAGACUUUUAUUUUGUUUUGUUUUAUUUUUAAUUAUGUUAUAUUAGUCACCAUACAGUACAUAAUUGGUUUUUGAUACAGUGUUCCCUGAUUCAUUGUUUGCAUAUAACACCCAGUGCUCCAUGAAAUCCGUGCCCUCCUUAAUACCCAUCACCAGUCUUACCCAUACCCUUAGCCCCCUUCCCUUCUAAAACCCUCAGUUUUAGAUAGACUCUCAUGAUAGAGUUUGAAUUACUUUUAGAAAGUUAGUCCUUUUUGAAAAUACAUUCUAAAAUUAUAUAAUGUUAAAGCUAUAAAGACUUUAAAUGCCACCACUAGUCUCUCCAUCUCAUUAUAUAUUAUUUUUCAAUUUUCAAAAUAUCUUUUCCUGAUUAUGACUAAAGUAGUCAUUUUAGAAAAUUAGAAGAAAUGGUUAAGCAGUAGAAAGGAUAAAUAUCCUAAUUCUAUCAUUUAUAGAUAAAUCACACUUGUCACUUGCAUUUUUAUUUCCUUUUAGAAAAUUCAAAGUAUAUUAUAUAUUUGUAAUUCAUUAAAUGUAAUAUGAAAUUUUCAUUAAUAAACAUUCUUCUCCACCAUCUUAAAAGUAAAGGUAGUUUUCAUUCACUAUUAUUAACAAAGCUACUCUGAAGAUAUUUGGAACUGAAGAUUGUGCUUAUCCAUGAUUAUUUUCUUAAGAUAAAUUUCCAGAAGUGGGAACCACGUAGGAAAAGAAAUGUGAAAAUCUAAGUGUUUUGAUACAUAUUGCAAAUUGUUCUCUAGAAAGGCAGUACCAAUUUAUAUUUGUAACAAUAGGGUUUGUGAUUGAUCUUUUAUCCAUUUCCUUGUCACCAUUUAGUACUAUAUUUUUUAAUGUUUGCACAGUUGAUAAGCAUAAAUCUUAUCAAUUAUAUAUGUUUUACUAAUGAAGUUGGUAUUUCAGGUUUUUCUUAGUCUUUGUGUUUUUUUACUGUGAAUUGCCUAUUAAUGAAAUUUGGCCAUUUUUUUUGGCUAUUGGUUUUUUUUGUCCUUAAGAGCUCUUUAGGUGUUAAAAAUAUUAACCCUUUCAGUAAUAUGUAUUUCUUUGUCGCCUUUAAGAAGUGUUUUUUGUUAUAUAGAAUUUUGCAUUUUUAUGGAUCUAUAAUUUUCUAUUGAAGUUUUCUGCCUUUGGUGCCAUAUUUGAGAAGAGUUUGUCACAAGAUCCUACAUAUAGUCACUUGUGUUCUGUUCUAUUAUUAUUACAGAUAUUUGUGUGCGUGUAUUUGAUUAUCUAGUGUCUAUUUUUGUGUAAGAGAGUAAAACAAAGAUUUUCUUUUAGGUCAUCAGUAAAUUUGUGAUUUUCUUCAUAUAAGUUCUAAACAUUCCCUGUUAAAUUUAUUCUUAGGAAUCUUAAAUUUUUGUUACUUAUAUCAGUGAAAUUGUUUUUUCAUUAUUUUAUUAAAUGGCUCAUUGUAAGCAUAAAGGAAAUUAUUUUUGGUAUAUGCAUAUUAUUCAGGAAUGUUAGUGGUUUCUCAUCUUGUCUUUGAUUUGGAAAGAAUGCUACUACUUUGCCAUCAAGCAUCAUUUUAAAUGUUUAAAUAGCUGUCUUUUUUUAGAUUAAUGAAAUUUAUUUCUAUUCCUAGUUUAUUAAAACUAUGUGGAUGUGAUGUAGAUUAGAUAUAAAUCAGUUCGAGAGGAAAGGAAAAUAAUCCACUGGGAGGAUAGAGAAGCUACUUUGAACCUUUAAUCUUUGUGGCAGAUUACAUUAAUAACUUUUCCAGAGUUGAGACAUUCUUAUAUUCUUAGGUCAUACUUUUUUAUUGCAUUACUGGAUUUGAUUUGUUAUUGUUUUGUGUGGAUAGUUACAUCUGUGUUUGAUAAGAUAUGAUUUUCUUUUGGUUUUGGUGUCAAAAUUAUACUAACCCCAGAAAAUGAUUUACUUAGUUUUAUUUCUUUUUCUAGUCUGUAGACUACAGAGCAUGGUAGUUGUAUAGGGAUAUCAUUUGUUAUCCAUAUAUGUGUAUGGAUAUCAUUUGUUCUUUGGAUGUUUGUCAAAAGUCAACUAUGAACUUCUGUUGAUUUAAUUAUUAUUUAUAUUUUGCAGAGGGGAAUAGGUAGAUUGGUAGAAAAGCUAUGUGGAAAUUAGCAGAUUUCAUAAAUGUCAACUUGGGUAAAUUGUCAAAACAUAAUAUUAAGUUAAAAAAAGGCAAAUUACCAAAUAAUAUGUACAGUUGAUACCAUUUCUUUACAUUUUAAAAACACAUAAGAAGUGUUUAUAUUCUCUAAAUAUAUGUACACACAUAUAUAUAAAUAUGUUAAUGGGAUGGGAAGGAUGCAAACAAAACUAAUAAUAGUGAAUCUUUCAGGGAAGGGGGAACACAUGAAUAGAACUGUAGAGAUUAUGGUAAAAAGGAAAUCUGAACCUUAUACUUUGUUGAAUAAAUUUCAAAUUUUAUUUUAUAACAUAGUUGUAAGCAAAUACUAAAAUGUCAACAGUAGUCCAUUCUGGGUUGUGGGAACAUAAAAACACUGGUAAUUUUUUUCUUUUAAUUUUCAAAAGAAUUUCAAAAAUUUUGACUUCUGGAUUUUAUCAGAUAAUUUUUGAGGAUCUAUUGCAGUGACCUUUAGAUGAAUUAUACUAACAAAAAUUUUAAUUACUUUUAUUGCUAAAUAUGUUUUAUUGAUUUUUUUAAUUUGGACUUUAACACAUAUUAUUUGUAUUUUUGUAAUAUCUUUUCUAGGUUGUAUGAUCAAGAACUAGUUUUGUGUUACUAUUAUUGUGCUCCUUGAAAACUUUCAGUGUUUCCUUGCUUCCUGCAAAAUAAAGCCAGGACUUUGAGAUUAACAUUAACAUCUUUCUAAAUAUGACCCCAUUCUCAUUGAUUAAUGAUAUCUGUAACUCCCAAGUACACAGCCUUCUUUCUUAUUAAAUGAAAACUGAUUUUA